rnacentral:pre_miRNA from 1 species
AGGAGCAACAGCCCUAGUGGCGGGGCCAGCUCUGGAGCCCUGGAGUCAGCCCCGCAGGAACUCCGGAGCUCUCUGUCUGCAGGGCUUGGAGGCUGGGGGAGGGG